CAGUAGCCACGGUAAUACAGAGGGUGCAAGCGUUAAUCGGAAUUACUGGGCGUAAAGCGUGCGUAGGCGGCUUCUUAAGUCGGAUGUGAAAUCCCUGAGCUUAACUUAGGAAUUGCAUUCGAUACUGGGAAGCUAGAGUAUGGGAGAGGAUGGUAGAAUUCCAGGUGUAGCGGUGAAAUGCGUAGAGAUCUGGAGGAAUACCGAUGGCGAAGGCAGCCAUCUGGCCUAAUACUGACGCUGAGGUACGAAAGCAUGGGGAGCAAACAGGAUUAGAUACCCGAGUAGUCCCUGUCUCUUAUAC
rnacentral:rRNA from 1 species